UACGGAGGGGGCUAGCGUUGUUCGGAAUUACUGGGUGUAAAGGGUUCGUAGGCGGUGUGGCAAGUCGGGAGUGAAAUCUCGGAGCUUAACUCCGAAACUGCAUUCGAUACUGCCGUGCUUGAGGACUGGAGAGGAGACUGGAAUUUACGGUGUAGCGGUGAAAUGCGUAGAUAUCGUAAGGAAGACCAGUGGCGAAGGCGGGUCUCUGGGCCACUACUGACGCUGAGAAGCGAAAGCAUGGGGAGCGAACAGG
rnacentral:rRNA from 1 species